rnacentral:rRNA from 1 species
UACGAAGGGGGCUAGCGUUGUUCGGAAUUACUGGGCGUAAAGCGCACGUAGGCGGAUUGUUAAGUUAGGGGUGAAAUCCCAGGGCUCAACCCUGGAACUGCCUUUAAUACUGGCAAUCUCGAGUCCGAGAGAGGUGAGUGGAAUUCCUGGUGUAGCGGUGAAAUGCGCAGAUAUCAGGAAGAACACCCGUGGCGAAAGCGGCUCUCUGGAACGGUACUGACGCUGAGACGCGAAAGCGUGGGGAGCGAACAGG